GGAUCAAUGAUGAUCUUGUUGGAAUCUUAACAAAAUGAGUGACAAAAUCACGUCUGUGAAGCUGAGGUCC
ensembl:snoRNA SNORD116 Small nucleolar RNA SNORD116